rnacentral:rRNA from 1 species
AACGAACGCUGGCGGCAUGCCUAACACAUGCAAGUCGAACGAGACCUUCGGGUCUAGUGGCGCACGGGUGCGUAACGCGUGGGAACCUGCCCUUAGGUUCGGAAUAACUCCACGAAAGGGGUGCUAAUACCGGAUAAUGUCUUCGGACCAAAGAUUUAUUGCCUUUGGAUGGGCCCGCGUUGGAUUAGCUAGUUGGUAGGGUAAAAGCCUACCAAGGCGACAAUCCAUAGCUGGUCUGAGAGGAUGAUCAGCCACACUGGGACUGAGACGCGGCCCAGACUCCUACGGGAGGCAGCAGUGAGUGAUAUUGGACAAUGGGCGAAAGCCUGAUCCAGCAAUGACGGGUGAGUGAUGAAGGCCGUAGGGUUGUAAAGCGCUUUUACCCGGGAUGAUAAUGACAGUACCGGGAGAAUAAGCUCCGGCUAACUCCGUG